rnacentral:rRNA from 1 species
AAAGCUUUAUGCGCCGAUGGAUGAGCCCGCACUUGAUUAGUUAGUUGGUAGGGUAAUGGCCUACCAAGACUUUGAUCAAUAGCUGAUUUGAGAGGAUGAUCAGCCACAUUGGGACUGAGACACGGCCCAAACUCCUACGGGAGGCAGCAGUAGGGAAUCUUGCACAAUGGAGGAAACUCUGAUGCAGCGAUGCCGCGUGAGUGAAGAAGGCCUUUGGGUUGUAAAGCUCUUUCGUCGGGGAAGAAAAUGACUGUACCCGAAUAAGAAGGUCCGGCUAACUUCGUGCCAGCAGCCGCGGUAAUACGAAGGGACCUAGCGUAGUUCGGAAUUACUGGGCUUAAAGAGUUCGUAGGUGGUUAAAAAAGUUGGUGGUGAAAUCCCAGAGCUUAACUCUGGAACUGCCAUCAAAACUUUUUAGCUAGAGUGUGAUAGAGGAAAGCAGAAUUUCUAGUGUAGAGGUGAAAUUCGUAGAUAUUAGAAAGAAUACCAAUUGCGAAGGCAGCUUUCUGGAUCACUACUGACACUGAGGAACGAAAGCAUGGGUAGCGAAGAGGAUUAGAUACCCUCGUAGUCCAUGCCGUAAACGAUGUGUGUUAGACGUUGGAAAUUUAUUUUCAGUGUCGCAGCGAAAGCAAUAAACACACCGCCUGGGGAGUACGACCGCAAGGUUAAAACUCAAAUGAAUUGACGGGGACCCGCACAAGUAGUGGAGCAUGUGGUUUAAUUCGAAGAUACGCGCAGAACCUUACCAACACUUGACAUGUUCGUCGCGACUUCAAGAGAUUGAAGUUUUCGGGUUCGGCCGGACGAAACACAGGUGCUGCAUGGCUGUCGUCAGCUCGUG